AGAUUGACAGAUUGAGAGCUCUUUCUUGAUUUUUCAGGUGGUGGUGCAUGGCCGUUCUUAGUUCGUGGGGUGACUUGUCUGCUUAAUUGCGAUAACGAGCGAGACCUUACUCUGCUAAAUAGCCAGGCUAGCUUUGGCUGGUCGCCGGCUUCUUAGAGAGACUAUCAACUCAAGUUGAUGGAAGUUUGAGGCAAUAACAGGUCUGUGAUGCCCUUAGAUGUUCUGGGCCGCACGCGCGCUACACUGACAGAGCCAACGAGUUCUUUUCCUUGUUCGAAAGAAUUGGGUAAUCUUGUUAAACUCUGUCGUGCUGGGGAUAAAGCAUUGCAAUUAUUGCUUUUCAACGAGGAAUGCCUAGUAAGCGCGUGUCAUCAGCAUGCGUUGAUUACGUCCCUGACCUUUGUACACACCGCCCGUCGCUACUACCGAUUGAAUGGCUCAGUGAGGCCUUCGGACUGGCUCGAGGAGGUUGGCAACGACCACCUCAAGCCGGAAAGUUGGUCAAACUCGGUCAUUUAGAGGAAGUAAAAGUCGUAACAAGGUCUCCGUAGGUGAACCUGCGGAGGG
rnacentral:rRNA from 1 species